rnacentral:rRNA from 1 species
GAGUUUGAUCCUGGCUCAGGACGAACGCUGGCGGCGUGCCUAACACAUGCAAGUCGAACGGACGAGGAGGAGCUUGCUUCUCCAAGUCAGUGGCGGACGGGUGAGUAACGCGUGAGUAACCUGCCCUUCAGAGGGGGAUAACGUCUGGAAACGGACGCUAAUACCGCAUGACAUAUUUCCAUCGCAUGGUGGAGAUAUCAAAGGAGCAAUCCGCUGAAGGAUGGACUCGCGUCCGAUUAGAUAGUUGGCGGGGUAACGGCCCACCAAGUCGACGAUCGGUAGCCGGACUGAGAGGUUGAACGGCCACAUUGGGACUGAGACACGGCCCAGACUCCUACGGGAGGCAGCAGUGGGGGAUAUUGCACAAUGGGCGAAAGCCUGAUGCAGCAACGCCGCGUGAGGGAAGACGGUUUUCGGAUUGUAAACCUCUGUUCUAAGUGACGAACAAAUGACGGUAGCUUAGGAGAAAGCCCCGGCUAACUACGUGCCAGCAGCCGCGGUAAUAC